UGGGUUGAUUUAUGCAAACUGUGCAGUGC
rnacentral:piRNA from 1 species